AAUGAACGUUGGCGGCGUGGAUUAGGCAUGCAAGUCGAGCGGAAAGGCCCGCAAGGGUACUCAAGCGGCGAAAGGGAGAGUAGCACGUAGGUUACCUACCCUCCGACCCGGGAUAGCUGAGGGAAACUUCAGGUAAUACCGGAUAACGUCUCCGGACCAAAGGUGUGAUUCCGUCGGGGGAGGGGCCUGCGUCCUAGUGGCUUGUUGGGGAGGUAACGGCUCACCAAGGCAAAGAUGGGUACGGGGUGUGAGAGCAUGCCCCCGCUCACUGGGCCUGAGACACUGCCCAGACACCUACGUGUGGCUGCAGUCGAGGAUAUUCGGCAAUGGGCGCAAGCCUGACCGAGCGACGCCGCGUGCGGGAUGAAGGCCUUCGGGUUGUAAACCGCUGUCAGGGGGGAGGAAAUGCUACGGGGUUCUCCCCGUAGUUUGACCUAGCCUCAGAGGAAGUACGGGCUAAGUUCGUGCCAGCAGCCGCCGUAAGAC
rnacentral:rRNA from 1 species